rnacentral:sRNA from 12 species
GUAUCUCCGCUCGGGGGGGAGACCGAUUUCACGCCUGCGGGAAAUCAGAGGGAGGAC